GACGAACGCUGGCGGCGUGCUUAACACAUGCAAGUCGAACGAAGAGCGAUGGAAGCUUGCUUCUAUCAAUCUUAGUGGCGAACGGGUGAGUAACGCGUAAUCAACCUGCCCUUCAGAGGGGGACAACAGUUGGAAACGACUGCUAAUACCGCAUACGAUCUAAUCUCGGCAUCGAGGAUAGAUGAAAGGUGGCCUCUACAUGUAAGCUAUCACUGAAGGAGGGGAUUGCGUCUGAUUAGCUAGUUGGAGGGGUAACGGCCCACCAAGGCGAUGAUCAGUAGCCGGUCUGGGAGGGUGGACGGCCACAUUGGGACUGGGACACGGCCCAGACUCCUACGGGAGGCAGCAGUGGGGAAUCUUCCGCAAUGGACGAAAGUCUGACGGAGCAACGCCGCGUGAGUGAUGACGGCCUUCGGGUUGUAAAGCUCUGUUAAUCGGGACGAAAGGCCUUCUUGCGAAUAGUGAGAAGGAUUGACGGUACCGGAAUAGAAAGCCACGGCUAACUACGUG
rnacentral:rRNA from 1 species